UUUUGUUUCAUUUGUGGCACAAGGGAAGCCAUGGUUGAUGAUUCCUUGCCUUUCCAGUGCUUGGGCGCACCUAGCAGCUGCUUCACGCCUCCUGAGAAUGCCGGUAUCUCUUACUUAGGUUGGUGCUGUACGGCUUGGUUGAGCUCAAAAUUCAAUGGAGACGGCAAUUGUCAGUUUUGGGCGUCGUCUGUUCAAUUUUACCGAACUCCUGAACACCGUAUAUUUGUAUGGCAACAGCUGGUGAAGCAGGUUUGUAUUAUCAAAGUGGCUACU